rnacentral:rRNA from 1 species
UACGAAGGGGGCGAGCGUUGUUCGGAUUUACUGGGCGUAAAGGGCGCGCAGGCGGCUAUCCAAGUCAGGCGUGAAAGCCCCGGCUUAACCUGGGAGGUGGUGCCGAAACGACCCGUCUGGAGGGACGUAGGGGGACCUGGAACUUCCGGUGGAGCGGUGAAAUGCGUUGAGAUCGGAAGGAACGCCCGUGGCGAAAGCGAGGUCCUGGACGUCUACUGACGCUGAGACGGCGAAAGCUAGGGGAGCAAACAGGG